GAUCUUGUAGCUCAACUGGAUAGAGUACUUGACUACGAAUCAAGCGGUUAGGGGUUCGACUCCCUUCAAGAUCA
rnacentral:tRNA from 1 species